rnacentral:rRNA from 1 species
AGGGCGUACGGUGGAUGCCUAGGCUCUUACAGGCGAUGAAGGACGUGAUAAGCUGCGAAAAGCCGCGGUGAGGCGCAAAUGGCCCUUGACCCGCGGAUCUCCGAAUGGGACAACCCAAUAUCUUGAAGGGAUAUUAUCCCGCCGAUGCGGGAGGCGAACGCGGGGAACUGAAACAUCUUAGUACCCGCAGGAAAAGAAAAUAAAAAAUGAUUCCCCCAGUAGUGGCGAGCGACCGGGGAAGAGCCCAAACCGACGUUGUUCCGGCAUCGUCGGGGUUGUAGGACCGCGCCAUCGCAAGAAAGGCCGUGAGUGGAAGCGAGUGGAAAGUCGCGCCAUAGAGGGUGAUAGCCCCUUACACGAAGCAGCCUGAAGCGUAGCGGACUCCUGAGUAGCGCGGGACACGAGUAAUCCUGUGUGAAUCCGCCGGGCCCAUCCGGCAAGGCUAAAUACUCGUAAGAGACCGAUAGUGAACCAGUACCGUGAGGGAAAGGUGAAAAGCACCCCUUGCAGGGGAGUGAAAUAGUUCCUGAAACCGUACGCCUACAAGCGGUCGGAGCAUCUUAAAUGAUGUGACGGCGUGCCUUUUGCAUAAUGAACCUACGAGUUGCCGUCACCAGCGAGGUUAAGUGCGAUGACGCACCGAGCCGCAGCGGAAGCGAGUCUUAAAAGGGCGCAAUAGUUGGUGGAGGCAGACGCGAAACCGAGUGAUCUACACUUGUCCAGGAUGAAGUCCCGGUAACACGGGAUGGAGGUCCGCACCAAUAAGCGUUGAAAAGCUUCUGGAUGAGGUGAGUGUAGGAGUGAAAGGCCAAUCAAACUCGGAGAUAGCUCGUACUCCCCGAAAGGCAUUUAGGUGCCGCCUGUGGCGUUCCCGACGUGAGGUAGAGCGACUGAUAGGAUGCGAGGGCUUCACCGCCUAUCAAGUCCUGACAAACUCCGAAUGCCGUCAGAGAUAUCCCGGGAGUAAGGGCGCGGGUGCUAAGGUCCGCGUCCGAGAGAGGAACAACUCAGACCACCGGCUAAGGUCCCGAAAUCCGGGCUAAGUUGAAGACAAUAACGAGGUGGGAUUGCAUAGACAGCUAGGAUGUUGGCUUGGAAGCAGCCAUUCAUUUAAAGAGUGCGUAACAGCUCACUAGUCGAGUGAUCCCGCGUGGAUAAUAAUCGGGCAUAAGUCCGGUACCGAAGCCGUGGAAUCAUGCUUAAUGUAUGAUUGGUAGGGGAGCAUUCCAUUCGCCGUCGAAGGUACGCCGCGAGACGUGCUGGAGGUCAUGGAAAAGCAAAUGUAGGUAUAAGUAACGAUAAUGGAGGCGAGAAACCUCCACGCCGCAAGACCAAGGUUUCCUGAUCAACGCUAAUCGGAUCAGGGUAAGUCGGGACCUAAGGGGCAGCCGCAAGGCGUACCCGAUGGAAGAAACGGUCAAGAUUCCGUUACUGUGUUUGAGAGUGAAGCGGGGACGGAGAAGUGAAACGUCCGCGGACUGACGGAAUAGUCCGUUAAAGGGUGUAGAUAUACGCUGCGCAGGCAAAUCCGCGCGGAGUGUCGAACCUGACAGUACCGGGCGCCUUCGGGCAACCGGAUAGUGACGGUAACCAGACUCCCAAGAAAAUCCGCUAAACUUAUCUCAAACGCACCCGUACCGAAACGGACACACGUGGUCGGGUAGAAUAUACUAAGGCGCUCGAGAGAUUCACCGUUAAGGAACUAGGCAAAUUGACUCCGUAACUUCGGGAUAAGGGGUCCCACCGCAGGGUGGGCGCAGAGAAUAGGUCCAGGCAACUGUUUAACAAAAACACAGGGCUGUGCAAAAUUUAAAGAUGAAGUAUACAGCCUGACACCUGCCCGGUGCCGGAAGGUUAAGAGGAGAAGUCAUCGCAAGAGAAGCUUUGAAUUGAAGCCCCGGUAAACGGCGGCCGUAACUAUAACGGUCCUAAGGUAGCGAAAUUCCUUGUCGGGUAAGUUCCGACCUGCACGAAUGGUGUAAUGAUCUGGACGCUGUCUCAACCGUGAGCUCAGUGAAAUUGUAGUAUCGGUGAAGAUGCCGAUUACCCGCGAUGGGACGAAAAGACCCCGUGAACCUUUACUAUAGCUUUACAUUGAGUUUGGGCAGACGAUGUGUAGGAUAGGCCGGAGGCAUUGAAGCAGGUACGCCAGUAUUUGUGGAGCCGACGUUGAAAUACGGCCCUUCGGUUGUUUGAGUUCUAACUCCUAGUUAGGAGGACACUGUAUGGUGGGUAGUUUGACUGGGGUGGUCGCCUCCAAAAGCGUAACGGAGGCUUCUAAAGGUGCCCUCAGACCGAUUGGUAACCGGUCGCAGAGUGUAAUGGCAUAAGGGCGCUUGACUGGGAGACAUACAAGUCGAUCAGGUAGGAAACUAGAGCAUAGUGAUCCGGUGGUUCCGCAUGG